UACGGGGGGGGCAAGCGUUGUUCGGAAUUACUGGGCGUAAAGGGCGCGUAGGCGGUUUGCUAAGUUGAAUGUGAAAACUCUGGGCUUAACCCAGAGCCUGCAUUCAAUACUGGCAGGCUAGAGUUCUGGAGGGGAUAGCGGAAUUCCUGGUGUAGCGGUGAAAUGCGUAGAUAUCGUGAGGAACACCAGAGGCGAAGGCGGCUACCUGGACAAUUGCUGACACUCAGGCACGAAAGCGUGGGGAGCAAAAGGG
rnacentral:rRNA from 1 species